AAAAGUAAUUGUGGUUUUGGCC
rnacentral:miRNA from 2 species